UACAGAGGGGGCAAGCGUUGUUCGGAAUUACUGGGCGUAAAGGGCGCGUAGGCGGCCUGUUAAGUCGAACGUGAAAUCCCCGGGCUCAACCCGGGAACUGCGUCCGAUACUGGUAGGCUUGAAUUCGGGAGAGGGAUGCGGAAUUCCAGGUGUAGCGGUGAAAUGCGUAGAUAUCUGGAGGAACACCGGUGGCGAAGGCGGCAUCCUGGACCGAAAUUGACGCUGAGGCGCGAAAGCCAGGGGAGCAAACGGG
rnacentral:rRNA from 1 species